rnacentral:rRNA from 1 species
UUCGCCCUUUUCCGGUUGAUCCUGCCGGAGAUCACUGCUAUCGGGAUUUGAUUAAGCCAUGCGAGUCAAGGGGGUCUUCGGACCACCGGCAUAAUGCUCAGUAACACGUGGAUAAUCUACCCUCGGGGGGGCAUAAGCUCGGGAAACUGAGUUUAAUUCCCCAUAGCCAUCCGAUUGCUGGAAUGCGCGGAUGGUCAAAGCUACAGCGCCCGAGGAUGAGUCUGCGGCCCAUCAGGUUGUAGUGAGUGUAACGGACUCACUAGCCGACGACGGGUACGGGCCUUGAGAGAGGUAACCCGGAGAUGGAUUCUGAGACACGAAUCCAGGCCCUACGGGGCGCAGCAGGCGCGAAAACUUCGCAAUGCGGGAAACCGCGACGAGGAAAUCCCGAGUGCCUACACAUUUGUGUAGGCUGUUUAUGUGCCUAAAAAGCACGUAGAGUAAGAGCUGGGUAAGACCGGUGCCAGCCGCCGCGGUAAUACCGGCAGCUCGAGUGGUGGUCAUUUUUACUGGGCCUAAAGCGUCCGUAGCCGGUUGAGUAAAUCCCUGGGUAAAUCGUACUGCUUAACAGUACGACUUCCGGGGACACUGCUCGACUUGGGACCGGGAGAGGUUGGAGGUACUCCGGGGGUAGGGG